UAGGGAAUCUUCCGCAAUGGACGCAAGUCUGACGGAGCAACGCCGCGUGAGUGAAGAAGGAUUUCGGUUCGUAAAACUCUGUUGUUAGAGAAGAACAGCGCAUAGAGUAACUGUUAUGCGUGUGACGGUAUCUAACCAGAAAGCCACGGCUAACUACGUGCCAGCAGCCGCGGUAAUACGUAGGUGGCAAGCGUUGUCCGGAUUUAUUGGGCGUAAAGCGAGCGCAGGCGGUCAAUUAAGUCUGAUGUGAAAGCCCCCGGCUCAACCGGGGAGGGUCAUGGGAAACUGGUUGACUUGAGUGCAGAAGAGGAGAGUGGAAUUCCAUGUGUAGCGGUGAAAUGCGUAGAUAUAUGGAGGAACACCAGUGGCGAAGGCGACUCUCUGGUCUGUAACUGACGCUGAGGCUCGAAAGCGUGGGUAGCAAACAGG
rnacentral:rRNA from 1 species